rnacentral:rRNA from 1 species
GACGAACGCUGGCGGCGUGCUUAACACAUGCAAGUCGAACGGAAAGGCCCUGCUUUUGUGGGGUGCUCGAGUGGCGAACGGGUGAGUAACACGUGAGUAACCUGCCCUUGACUUUGGGAUAACUUCAGGAAACUGGGGCUAAUACCGGAUAGGAGCUCCUGCUGCAUGGUGGGGGUUGGAAAGUUUCGGCGGUUGGGGAUGGACUCGCGGCUUAUCAGCUUGUUGGUGGGGUAGUGGCUUACCAAGGCUUUGACGGGUAGCCGGCCUGAGAGGGUGACCGGCCACAUUGGGACUGAGAUACGGCCCAGACUCCUACGGGAGGCAGCAGUGGGGAAUAUUGCACGAUGGGCAGAAGCCUGAUGCAGCAACGCCGCGUGCGGGAUGACGGCCUUCGGGUUGUAAACCGCUUUCGCCUGUGACGAAGCGUGAGUGACGGUAAUGGGUAAAGAAGCACCGGCUAACUACGUG